rnacentral:lncRNA from 1 species
AAUGGAGGUGAUCAAAUUUGAAGGGUCUCCGCAAGUCAAUUUGAUCCCAUUGAAGUGGAUGAUGAAGAGUUUUUGAACUAUUGUAAAAGUUUGAAUACAUUAUAUUUGAUUUUGUGAAAUAUAUUCAUUGCUAGAAUAUAUUGAACUAUUGUAAGAGUACUUUUUGAACUAUUAUGUACACAUAUCUAGAAUAUUGCUUUAUAAGUAUGUGUA